GGCGGGAGCGGGAGUGG
rnacentral:miRNA from 1 species